rnacentral:rRNA from 1 species
AUUGAACGCUGGCGGCGUGCCUAAUACAUGCAAGUCGAACGGAGUGGCGCACGGGUGAGUAAUGUAUAGCUAAUCUGCCCUACACUAGAGGACAACAGUUGGAAACGGCUGCUAAUACUCUAUAGUGUAGGAUGAGGCUAUAUUGUAUCAGCUAGUUGGUGAGGUAAUGGCUCACCCAGGCUAUGACGCAUAACUGGUCUGAGAGGAUGAUCAGUACAACUGGAAGUGAGACACGGUCCAGAAGCCUACGGGAGGCAGCAGUAGGGAAUAUUGCUCAAGGGGGGAAAACCUGAAGCAGCAACGCCGCGUGGAGGAUGACACUUUUCGGAGCGUAAACUCCUUUUGAUAGGGAAGCGGUACCUACCGAAUAAGCACCGGCUAACUCCGUGCCAGCCGCCGCGGUAAUUC